CCUACGGGUGGCAGCAGUGGGGAAUAUUGGGCAAUGGGCGCAAGCCUGACCCAGCAACGCCGCGUGAAGGAAGAAGGCUUUCGGGUUGUAAACUUCUUUUCUCAGGGACGAAUAGAUGACGGUACCUGAGGAAUAAGCCACGGCAAACUACGUGACAGCAGCCGGGGUAAAAAGUAGGUGGAAAGCGUUAUCCGGAUUUACUGGGUGUAAAGGGCGUGUAGGGGGGGAAGCAAGUCAGAUGUGAAAACCACGGGCUCAACCUGUGGCCUGCAUUUGAAAAUGUGUUUCUUGAGUACUGGAGAGGCAGACGGAAUUCCUAGUGUAGCGGUGAAAUGCGUAGAUAUUAGGAGGAACACCAGUGGCGAAGGCGGUUUGCUGGACAGCAACUGACGCUGAGGCGCGAAAGCGUGGGGAGCAAACAGGAUUAGAUACCCCGGUAGUC
rnacentral:rRNA from 1 species